rnacentral:rRNA from 1 species
AUUGAACGCUAGCGGGAUGCUUUACACAUGCAAGUCGAACGAGUGGCGGACGGGUGAGUAAUAUAUCGGAACGUGCCCAGUAGCGGGGGAUAACUACUCGAAAGCGUGGCUAAUACCGCCUACUAUUGGAGCGGCCGAUCUCGGAUUAGCUAGUUGGGGGGGUAAAGGCUCACCAAGGCAAAGAUCCGUAGCUGGUUUGAGAGGACGACCAGCCAAACGGGGACUGGGACACGGCCCAGACUCCUACGGGAGGCAGCAGGGGGGAAUUUUGGACAAGGGGGGAAACCCUGAUCCAGCAAGCCGGUGUGUCUGAGAAGGCUUUCGGGUUGUAAAGUACUUUUGGCAGAGAAGCGGUAUCUGCAGAAUAAGCACCGGCGAACUACGUGCCAGCAGCCGCGGUAAUAC